ACACCAUCCAGAGCGGCCGAGAGUCCUGGCUCGACGACGCCGCAGCAACCCCCCGAGCCCGGGCGAGGGUGCUAAAGCCAGGCCGAUGGAGU
rnacentral:ncRNA from 2 species